CUAAAAGCACCUUCCCCCUUUACUCUGUGUCUACGGCAGGUAUCUGAAGGGAAGGUGGCAGCGGCACACCACAAGGAUGGUGCUGGAUCCCAAGCUGGUGCACACUGUCACCUGAUGUGUAAGCUGCAAUUUAUUUUGAAGCAUUUUCUCAUUAUCCUCAGGUUUAUUCGUAACUUCUCCCACCAGCAUGCUGAGGGCAAGCACUGACUGGCUUCCAUGUGGGCUGUGGGGCUGUGACCUCACAGAGGUGUCCCCACCCAAAGGAUUGUGACCUCACGGCCAACUCAGUAUGAGCUAGCAACCAGCACCCUGCCUCUCCCAGUGCGGUCGUGACCGGCUUUGAGCGAUGGUUGACGACAGCUUUCUCCUUGUCCCUAUGACCCUUUUCUUCUUGUAUGUCCUGUUCUUGGUGGCCAGGGUCUCCCUGCUCAUCACCAUCUGGUUCCUACAGGUAGGGGAGUUUGAGGAUGGCUGUGGGACUCAGGGCUGGGGGAUUUGGAACCGAUUGCGCGGGUUGCUUCCCAGGCGCCUCACAGUGCCACGUUCAUGUGCCUGCAGGCUGGCAGACGACUCUUGCGACUGAGGAGAUGGUGGCGGAGAGGAGCAUCAGCACCGGAGUCAGGUGCUCAGAGACCAACGUCUGGGACAUCUUGCUCCUGCUCCAGCUGCAACCGCUGCAGCAAAGCUGAC
rnacentral:lncRNA from 1 species